ACUUUGGCAUCGGAGGUUCUUCGGCCAAAGCCCCCCCCAUUCAUCGUGGGUGCGUGAGGCUUUUGGCCUUAACCUAAGGUGCUAGUUGUUUUGUAGGUGCAAAAUUGUCCAAGAUCGAAGAGGAGAAAAUUUGCAUCCACAAUUAGGACAAAAUAAGGUAACUUGGUUAACAUUCCUUCUUUCUUGCUGAGCUUCCUUGUCUUCCUUAUUUUGAAUUUAUUUCCUUCAUCUCUUCAGCACAUUCCUAACCUCUUUUGAACUUCAAAUUCAUCCAUCCACCUUGCUCCAAGCAUGUGUUAUCCAUUCCAUGCCCAAAACUGCUCCAAAAUGCUCCAAAUUGCACUUUUUUGCUUCUUUAGCCCUUUGGACCUACAAACACACGAAAAUAGCUUAAAAUAGUAAAAUAACUAGGAACUAACAAUAAAUGCAAGAAAACAAGCUAACUAAGUCGCAUAAAUAUGCUCCUAUCAAAUUCCCCCACGCUUAGCUUUUGCUAGUCCUUGAGCAAAAUAAAACAAACAAAACAUAAGCUAAACCUUCCAACAUUCACCUCAGGGAUUUCCAAUGAAACAUGACACAUUAAAAGUCACUACUCACAUAGAUUUUAGCCAUCCUUACCCUCGAGCACACACUUAAUCAUAGUCACCAUUCACUAGCUCACAUUUAAUCAAUUAAAACAACAUUUUGAAUGGAUUAACAUGCCUUGGAGAAUUCCCUCAAUUCCUCACCGGAUAUGCUCUCUAUUUUCACACAAAUUUUCUGACUACACUCCCUACACUAAGUAUAUGUGAGAAGAUUGAUGUAAACAUGUAGACUAGUACUCACAUAUGUUUUAAACAAGGAAGACAAUUUCUAGAGUUAUUAAUAUAUGUAUAUAUAUAUGAUCUCAUGAACGAAAUGCUACUACUUAGAAGCGAGAACCAGAGAUUCCAUAUGCUCAUACCAAUUUGAAACUCCACAGAUUGAAACACACAACCAUCAAGAUUGAAGUCUAAGGGUUGUAACACAAGGGAAAGAUUCACAAAACACUUAGGGGCGAAUUCAAACUGUUGGACCAUUUCUUCAACAACCAAUACUUGUGAGUUCAUUCUCACUUAUUUUGAACUCUUUUCCUUUCUUUUUCUUUUCUUUUUCACCUUUUUUUUUUGUUUUUUUUUUUUUGGAAAUAACCUUCCCCCACACUUGUUUUCUACAAUAAUGUUGCUCAAAAGGAAUUCCCUCUAAGUCAUGCUCCACUAUACUUUAAGAACAAAGGUAUGGAUAGUCCUAUUCUAGGCUAGGUAGGGAUAAUGCGGGCUAACAAAGAAAAUAGGCUAAACAAGGCUCAAAGAGCUUAAACCUACAAAACAUAUGCAAGGGAUUAAGGCUUUUUGGCUCUGGUGGUAACUACUAAACAACUUCAUCUUGUUAUAUGUUAUGCACUCAAUUGUAAGCUUUGAAUGAAACGGGCAUGAGUUCUAGUAUUUGGAACUAAAAUGAUGAAAAAGCAUUCUAAGUAGCAACCAAGCAAACAAAACAAUGAGAUCAUGCAACGACUUUAGAAAACAAGAAAUCACAGAUUAAUAACUCUCCAAACAAAGUUUAGGCUCAGGUUUCUCAGGGUUGUAGCAUUUGUUUGAGUUCCUUCCUUCAAGCAUGUUACAAAAACUGAUUUUUUUUCUUUGUGAUUACAUGUGAAUUCGUUAAUGACAACUACAACCAAGUAUUAACCAAAGAGCAUAUCAAACUUCCACCCAUGUUUGUAACUUUCUUUAACAGUCAUGCAAUUAAAAACCAAAUCCUCAUCAUUGUGUUGUGAUGCGAAAUAGAUAAGCACACAAAUUAAACCCUCUUUUGUCAAAUUGUAGUAGAGAUGUAAGUAGGGAUCGUUCUAGACCGGGGAUUAGGAGGGAUUGCUAAACACUUGGAAAUUGACUUAAAAACUCAAAAACAAAGUU
rnacentral:lncRNA from 1 species